rnacentral:snRNA from 1 species
GUGCUCACUUCAGCAGCACAUACACCAAAACUGGAAAGAUAGAAUAUUAGCAGGGCACCUAAACGAGGAUGACAUGCAAAUUCAUGAAUAGUUCCAUAUUACA